UACGAAGGGGGCUAGCGUUGCUCGGAAUUACUGGGCGUAAAGCGCACGUAGGCGGCUUUUUAAGUCGGGGGUGAAAUCCUGGAGCUCAACUCCAGAACUGCCUUCGAUACUGGAAAGCUCGAGUCCGGGAGAGGUGAGUGGAACUGCGAGUGUAGAGGUGAAAUUCGUAGAUAUUCGCAAGAACACCAGUGGCGAAGGCGGCUCACUGGCCCGGUACUGACGUUGAGGUGCGAAAGCGUGGGGAGCAAACAGG
rnacentral:rRNA from 1 species